rnacentral:lncRNA from 1 species
GGCUGCUAGCAUAAUAAAGGAGGAAUGUGUGUGAGAAGAAGUGCUUUUAUGUUAUUUUAUUUUAAUUUUUUCAUCUAGCUAUUUUCUAAAAUUUUAUUUCUUGUGAUUUCUGUUAUAUUAGUGAUUGGUUUAAGCACUCAUUUUUCUAAGGCCUUCUUUUCUUUUCACAAGAGAAAAGAUGUCAAUAGCCAACUUGAAC